rnacentral:rRNA from 1 species
GACGAACGCUGGCGGCGUGCUUAACACAUGCAAGUCGAACGGAAAGGCCCUGCUUUUGUGGGGUGCUCGAGUGGCGAACGGGUGAGUAACACGUGAGUAACCUGCCCUUGACUUUGGGAUAACUUCAGGAAACUGGGGCUAAUACCGGAUAGGAGCUCCUGCUGCAUGGUGGGGGUUGGAAAGUUUCGGCGGUUGGGGAUGGACUCGCGGCUUAUCAGCUUGGUGGUGGGGUAGUGGCUUACCAAGGCUUUGACGGGUAGCCGGCCUGAGAGGGUGACCGGCCACAUUGGGACUGCGAUACGGCCCAGACUCCUACGGGAGGCAGCAGUGGGGAAUCUUGCACAAUGGGCGGAAGCCUGAUGCAGCAACGCCGCGUGCGGGAUGACGGCCUUCGGGUUGUAAACCGCUUUAGCCUGUGACGAAGCGUGAGUGACGGUAAUGGGUAAAGAAGCACCGGCUAACUACGUG